GCCCUAGUAACUUAAUGCCAAAGUAUCGGUCUUGUAAGCCGAAUAUAAUGGUUAAAUUCCAUUCUUGGGCU
rnacentral:tRNA from 1 species